rnacentral:rRNA from 1 species
UGGGGAAUAUUGCACAAUGGGCGAAAGCCUGAUGCAGCAACGCCGCGUGAGUGAUGAAGGUCUUCGGAUUGUAAAGCUCUGUCUUUUGGGACGAUAAUGACGGUACCAAAGGAGGAAGCCACGGCUAACUACGUGCCAGCAGCCGCGGUAAUACGUAGGUGGCGAGCGUUGUCCGGAUUUACUGGGCGUAAAGGGUGCGUAGGCGGAUGUUUAAGUGAGAUGUGAAAUACCCGGGCUUAACUUGGGUGCUGCAUUUCAAACUGGAUAUCUAGAGUGCAGGAGAGGAGAAUGGAAUUCCUAGUGUAGCGGUGAAAUGCGUAGAGAUUAGGAAGAACACCAGUGGCGAAGGCGAUUCUCUGGACUGUAACUGACGCUGAGGCACGAAAGCGUGGGUAGCAAACAGGAUUAGAUACCCUGGUAGUCCACGCCGUAAACGAUGAGUACUAGGUGUAGGAGGUAUCGACCCCUUCUGUGCCGCAGUAAACACAUUAAGUACCCCGCCUGGGAAGUACGAUCGCAAGAUUAAAACUCUAAAGUGAAUUGACGGGGG